UAGGGAAUCUUCGGCAAUGGGGGCAACCCUGACCGAGCAACGCCGCGUGAGUGAAGAAGGUUUUCGGAUCGUAAAGCUCUGUUGUAAGUCAAGAACGAGUGUGAGAGUGGAAAGUUCACACUGUGACGGUAGCUUACCAGAAAGGGACGGCUAACUACGUGCCAGCAGCCGCGGUAAUACGUAGGUCCCGAGCGUUGUCCGGAUUUAUUGGGCGUAAAGCGAGCGCAGGCGGUUUGAUAAGUCUGAAGUUAAAGGCUGUGGCUCAACCAUAGUUCGCUUUGGAAACUGUCAAACUUGAGUGCAGAAGGGGAGAGUGGAAUUCCAUGUGUAGCGGUGAAAUGCGUAGAUAUAUGGAGGAACACCGGUGGCGAAAGCGGCUCUCUGGUCUGUAACUGACGCUGAGGCUCGAAAGCGUGGGGAGCGAACAGGAUUAGAUACCCUGGUAGUCCACGCCGUNNCGAUGAGUGCUAGGUGUUGGAUCCUUUCCGGGAUUCAGUGCCGCAGCUAACGCAUUAAGCACUCCGCCUGGGGAGUACGACCGCAAGGNUG
rnacentral:rRNA from 1 species